rnacentral:rRNA from 1 species
AGUCAUAUGCUUGUCUCAAAGAUUAAGCCAUGCAUGUCUAAGUAUAAACAUCUUUAUACUGUGAAACUGCAGAUGGCUCAUUAAAUCAGUCAUAAUUUAUUCGAUGAUUACUUACUACAUGGAUAACCGUAGUAAUUCUAGAGCUAAUACAUGCGCAAAGUCCCAGCUCUUGCGGGGAGGGAUGUAUUUAUUAGAUAAAAAAUCAACGCAGGUGGGCAACCAUCUGGUGCGAGGUGAAUCAUAAUAACUGUUCGAAUCGCAUGGCUUCACGCCGGCGAUAGUUCAUUCAAAUUUCUGCCCUAUCAGCUUUCGACGGUAGUGUAGUGGACUACCGUGGCAUUAACGGGUGACGGAGAAUUAGGGUUCGAUUCCGGAGAGGGAGCCUGAGAGAUGGCUACCACAUCCAAGGAAGGCGGCAGGCGCGCAAAUUACCCAAUCCUGACACAGGGAGGUAGUGACAAAAAAUAACAAUACUGGGCCUCAUGGUCUAGUAAUUGGAAUGAGUACAAUUUAAAUCCCUUAACGAGGAUCAAUUGGAGGGCAAGUCUGGUGCCAGCAGCCGCGGUAAUUCCAGCUCCAAUAGCGUAUGUUAAAAUUGCUGCAGUUAAAAAGCUCGUAGUUGGAUUUCUGGCGUGGUGCACCGAGCCCGCUGCCUAUGGUGGUGAGUGCUUGUUUCGUGUGCCUGCCAUACUUCGGGGGAAGUUUUCGUGGGAGCAAUCUCGCGAUAAUUCUCCGAUCGUUUACUUUGAAAAAAUUAGAGUGUUUAAAGCAGGCUGACGCUAUGAAUACAUUAGCAUGGAAUAAUAAGAUAGGACUUCGGUUCUAUUUUGUUGGUUUCUAGGACUGAAGUAAUGAUUGAUAGGGACAGUUGGGGGUGCUAGUAUUUAACGGCCAGAGGUGAAAUUCUUGGAUUCGUUAAAGACUAACUUAUGCGAAAGCAUUCACCAAGGAUGUCUUCUUUAAUCAAGAACGAAAGUUGGGGGAUCGAAGACGAUCAGAUACCGUCGUAGUCUCAACCAUAAACUAUACCGACUAGGGAUGAGUGCACGUUGCAUUAUCGACUGCAUUCGCACCUUAUGAGAAAUCAAAGUCUUCGGGUUCUGGGGGGAGUAUGGUCGCAAGGCUGAAACUUAAAGGAAUUGACGGAAGGGCACCACCAGGAGUGGAGCCUGCGGCUUAAUUCGACUCAACACGGG